UCUCCGUUGGUGAACCAGCGGAGGGAUCAUUACAGAGUCGUAAAACACUCCCAAACCCAUGUGAAUUUACCUUUGUUGCCUCGGCGGGACCUACCCGGUACCUGUCCCUUUUGGGACAGACUACCCUGUAGCCCGCCGGUGGAUAUUCAAAACUCGUUAUUUUUAAUGUUAUCUGAGCGUCUUAUUUUAAUAAGUCAAAACUUUCAACAACGGAUCUCUUGGUUCUGGCAUCGAUGAAGAACGCAGC
rnacentral:misc_RNA from 1 species